AUUGAACGCUGGCGGCAUGCCUUACACAUGCAAGUCGAACGGCAGCACGGGAGCAAUCCUGGUGGCGAGUGGCGAACGGGUGAGUAAUGUAUCGGAACGUGCCCAGUCGUGGGGGAUAACGUAGCGAAAGCUACGCUGAUACCGCAUACGAUCUGUGGAUGAAAGCGGGGGACCGUAAGGCCUCGCGCGAUUGGAGCGGCCGAUAUCAGAUUAGGUAGUUGGUGGGGUAAAGGCCUACCAAGCCGACGAUCUGUAGCUGGUCUGAGAGGACGACCAGCCACACUGGGACUGAGACACGGCCCAGACUCCUACGGGAGGCAGCAGUGGGGAAUUUUGGACAAUGGGCGCAAGCCUGAUCCAGCAAUGCCGCGUGCAGGAUGAAGGCCUUCGGGUUGUAAACUGCUUUUGUACGGAGCGAAAAGGCUCUCUCUAAUACAGGGGGCUCAUGACGGUACCGUAAGAAUAAGCACCGGCUAACUACGUGCCAGCCGCCGCCGUAAGAC
rnacentral:rRNA from 1 species